GAAGUCUUGAACAGUUGAGGGGAAUGCUGUCUGGUUCGAGACCGUUCAUUUGAAGCUCUAGACUUCAUCAGAAUGAUCUCGGACCAGGCUUCAUUCCCCCCAACUUAUGGAAUAUAUAC
rnacentral:pre_miRNA from 1 species